GAUGAACGCUAGCGAUAGGCUUAACACAUGCAAGUCGAGGGACCGGCGCACGGGUGCGUAACGCGUAUGCAACUUGCCUCGCAGAGGGGGAUAACCCGUCGAAAGACGGACUACUACCGCGUACUGUGAGAUAUGCAUGCGUCCCAUUAGCUAGUGGGGGAGGUAACGGCUCACCAAUGCAACGAUGGGUAGGGGAACUGAGAGGUUGAACCUCCGCACUGGUACUGAGACACGGACCAUACUCCUAGGGGAGGCAGGAGUGAGGAAUAAUGGUCAAUGGGCGAGAGCCUGAACCAGCCAAGUCGCGUGAAGGAUGACUGUCUAGGGAUUGUAAACUUCUUUUGUAGGGGAAUAUGUACCCUACGAGUAAGCAUCGGCUAACUACGUGCCAGCAGCCGCGGUAAUUC
rnacentral:rRNA from 1 species